rnacentral:rRNA from 2 species
UCCGUAGGUGAACCUGCGGAAGGAUCAUUACCUAGAGUUGUAGGCUUUGCCUGCUAUCUCUUACCCAUGUCUUUUGAGUACCUUACGUUUCCUCGGCGGGUCCGCCCGCCGAUUGGACAAUUUAAACCAUUUGCAGUUGCAAUCAGCGUCUGAAAAAACUUAAUAGUUACAACUUUCAACAACGGAUCUCUUGGUUCUGGCAUCGAUGAAGAACGCAGCGAAAUGCGAUAAGUAGUGUGAAUUGCAGAAUUCAGUGAAUCAUCGAAUCUUUGAACGCACAUUGCGCCCCUUGGUAUUCCAUGGGGCAUGCCUGUUCGAGCGUCAUUUGUACCUUCAAGCUCUGCUUGGUGUUGGGUGUUUGUCUCGCCUCUGCGUGUAUACUCGCCUCAAAACAAUUGGCAGCCGGCGUAUUGAUUUCGGAGCGCAGUACAUCUCGCGCUUUGCACUCAUAACGACGACGUCCAAAAGUACAUUUUUACACUCUUGACCUCGGAUCAGGUAGGGAUACCCGCUGAACUUAAGCAUAUCAAUAAGCGGAGGA